GAUGAAGUGUCUGAAAAAGAGUUAUUUUGAUAGAAUAAAUUAUGUGAAAAAUCACCUUCAUUA
rnacentral:tRNA from 1 species